rnacentral:rRNA from 1 species
AGAGCGAACGCUGGCGGCAGGCCUAACACAUGCAAGUCGAGCGCCCGUAGCAAUACGGGAGCGGCAGACGGGAUAGUAACACGUGGGAACGCGCCCUUCGGUUCGGAAUAACUCAGGGAAACUUGAGCUAAUACCGAAUACGCCCUUACGGGGAAAGAUUUAUUGCCGAAGGAACGGCCCGCGUCCGAUUAGCUAGUUGGUGAGGUAAUGGCUCACCAAGGCUACGAUCGGUAGCUGGUCUGAGAGGAUGACCAGCAUCACUGGGACUGAGACACGGCCCAGACUCCUACGGGAGGCGGCAGUGGGGAAUAUUGGACAAUGGGCGCAAGCCUGAUCCAGCCAUGCCGCGUGGAUGAUGAAGGCCUUAGGGUUGUAAAGUCCUUUUAACGGGGAAGAUAAUGACGGUACCCGUAGAAUAAGCCCCGGCUAACUUCGCGCCAGCAGCCGC